UACGUAGGGUGCGAGCGUUAAUCGGAAUUACUGGGCGUAAAGCGUGCGCAGGCGGUUUUGUAAGCCAGAUGUGAAAUCCCCGGGCUUAACCUGGGAAUGGCAUUUGGGACUGCAAGGCUGGAGUGUGGCAGAGGAGACGUGGAAUUCCUGGGUGUAGCAGUGAAAUGCGUAGAUAUCUGGAGGAACACCGGUGGCGAAGGCGGCGAUCCUGGACCAACACUGGACGCUGAGGAGCGAAAGCCAGGGGAGCAAACGGGG
rnacentral:rRNA from 1 species